CGUGAGUGAUGAAGGUCUUCAGGAUCGUAAAACUCUGUUAUUAGGGAAGACAUACAUGUAAGUAACUGUGCACGUCUUGACGGUACCUAAUCAGAAAGCCACGGCUAACUACAUGCCAGCAGCCGCGGUAAUA
rnacentral:rRNA from 1 species